ACGGCUCAGUAACACGUGGAUAACCUGCCCUUGGGUCCGGCAUAACCCCGGGAAACUGGGGAUAAUUCCGGAUAACGCACAUAUGCUGGAAUGCUUUAUGCGUAAAAUGGAUUCGUCUGCCCAAGGAUGGGUCUGCGGCCUAUCAGGUAGUAGUGGGUGUAAUGUACCUACUAGCCAACAACGGGUACGGGUUGUGAGAGCAAGAGCCCGGAGAUGGAUUCUGAGACAUGAAUCCAGGCCCUACGGGGCGCAGCAGGCGCGAAAACUUUACAAUGCGGGAAACCGUGAUAAGGGGACACCGAGUGCCAGCAUCAUAUGCUGGCUGUCCAGGCGUGUAAACUACACCUGUUAGCAAGGGCCGGGCAAGACCGGUGCCAGCCGCCGCGGUAACACCGGCGGCCCGAGUGGUGAUCGUGAUUAUUGGGUCUAAAGGGUCCGUAGCCGGUUUGGUCAGUCCUCCGGGAAAUCUGAUAGCUCAACUAUUAGGCUUUCGGGGGAUACUGCCAGGCUUGGAACCGGGAGAGGUAAGAGGUACUACAGGGGUAGGAGUGAAAUCUUGUAAUCCCUGUGGGACCACCUGUGGCGAAGGCGUCUUACCAGAACGGGUUCGACGGUGAGGGACGAAAGCUGGGGGCACGAACCGGAUUAGAUACCCGGGUAGUCCCAGCCGUAAACGAUGCUCGCUAGGUGUCAGGCAUGGCGCGACCGUGUCUGGUGCCGCAGGAAGCCGUGAAGCGAGCCACCUGGGAAGUACGGCCGCAAGGCUGAAACUUAAAGGAAUUGGCGGGGGAGCAC
rnacentral:rRNA from 1 species